rnacentral:rRNA from 1 species
UACAGAGGUGGCAAGCGUUGUUCGGAAUUACUGGGCGUAAAGGGCGCGUAGGCGGCCUUCUAAGUCAGACGUGAAAUCCCCCGGCUUAACCUGGGGACUGCGUCUGAUACUGGGAGGCUUGAGUAUGGGAGAGGGAUGUAGAAUUCCAGGUGUAGCGGUGAAAUGCGUAGAUAUCUGGAGGAAUACCGGUGGCGAAGGCGGCAUCCUGGACCAUUACUGACGCUGAGGCGCGAAAGCUAGGGGAGCAAACGGG